GGGAACGAUCAGUUGGAUUUUUUAUCUGGAGCUCUCUAGUCAGGCCAAAACAGCACUGAUAAUCUCUGAAUAAAAAUUCACUAUCCAAAUUCCAAUUUAACACCUUAAGUUUUUCCGUUUCUGAAUCCGUGAAGCCUAGCAACAAUAUGUGCGGUUAUGGGUGCGGUCCCUAUGGCUACGGACCUUCGGGUCCUUGCGGACCAUGGUGCGGACCCUGGUGUAGCCCUUGUGCCCUCUCGCUAGGACCCUAUACCUGCUGUGGACCCAGUGGAUGCGGACCAAGCGGCCCAGCGUGUUGGCCGUAUGGCUUGUACACCUGCUAGGCUUCAGAAGGAUGUCAGAAACGUGUGAGCCAUUUCCCAUAAUACAGCUCGGACCAUGGCAAUUACAUUGGAUAACAUAAUACAAAAAAGUGCCCGUUGUUUUCAUCUAAGACAAUAAUAAAAAAGUGGGGAGUCGCAGCCCGUAACAAAUUUGUCCACCAAUCCUUUCGCGAAUCCGUAGACUUAACGCUUAAGCCUUUUACAUAAAAAUGUUGGAAAAGCUAGAGCACAACUUGUGCUUUUGCACCUUUGUUCUUUCCACUGCCAGACGUGUCUUGGCAAAUAGCUGGUGGCUAAAAGUAUGUUCGCAGCCUGUUCUUCUCUUUAAGACCCAAAUGUACGUACGGGGCUUAAUUUGAAUGUAAUGCGUUGUCACGUAUUUAUUAAGCUUUGAACUAAAAGGAGUACGGAUACUUUAUAA